rnacentral:rRNA from 1 species
AUACGGAGGGUGCAAGCGUUAAUCGGAUUUACUGGGCGUAAAGCGUGCGUAGGCGGUUUAUUAAGUCAGAUGUGAAAGCCCCGGGCUCAACCUGGGAACUGCAUUUGAAACUGGUGAACUAGAGUUUGGUAGAGGGUAGUGGAAUUCCAGGUGUAGCGGUGAAAUGCGUAGAGAUCUGGAGGAACACCAGUGGCGAAGGCGGCUACCUGGACCAAAACUGACGCUGAGGUACGAAAGCGUGGGGAGCAAACAGGAUUAGAUACCCGCGUAGUCC